GUUUGCAAACAGACACCAUAAUGCUGUUCUUCUCAUUAAUUUUCUGUUUGGUUUAGAGCUGUUUGGGUUUUCAAUGGUUUUGAAGAGAGGAAAGCAUGCUGGCACCAAAAUAAGUGAGAACCACUGCUACCUCCCCGUCUUCAUCUGAGUGGGCACUCAAUUCCUUUUCCUCUGAUAAAGUGAGUAAAGAGAGACAUGGUGUUGGGGAGUGAGGUGGGGAGAAAGGCAGCCUCUGCCAUGGAUGAGGCAGCCUUUGAAAGGGAGAAGGUGGCACGAGCGUCCCCAGAAGGGAGAGGGCUUCAGGAGAUCCAGAGGCAUUAGGAACAAGUCUUUCUCCUUGCUUGAACUGGUAGCUGGAUAUUAUGUUGUGGAGGCAGGAACCUAGACAUGAUUUAGAAGACUUGCUUUGCAAAAUUGCUCUGAAGUGGUGUGACCUGGGGAAAUUGCUCACCCUUGCUGGACUUGAUUUAGCUUGGCUGUGAAAUAAAAGUAUUAGACUCAAGAUUUUCAGCCCGAUAGUGUGAAACAGAAUAGAGAAUAAAACAUAGCAGUGGUUAAAGAUAAAAUAAUAGAUGAGUCAGCAAAGUUUGUAAAUAUUUGUUCAGUAAAAAACUAAGCACAUGUGGCACUGUUUCCUAUCAAUGUGCCACUCUGCACACUUGAAUUUUGAUGUGCUUUCUUGGCUGGAACCACUGCUAGCACGGAAUGGCUUGGCUUAGGCCAGAAUCAUCCAUUGUGGGUCAUGAAAGAGGGCAAGAGCCAUUGGAAGUAGAUGACUUGGUCAAACUUUUCUCCAGUCUCAAAUCUCUUGUCUGCUAUGCAACCUGUUCCUAUCUUGCUGAUGCAUACCUCAAAGAACAGAGGGGAGGCCGACUCAGAAAGGGACCAAGAGUUAUCAGAUCUUCAGCCACAUAAACCCAAGAGUAUUUCUCAACUGCCACCUGCUCCCUGUGUGUCUUUGAGCAAGAGAUAUAAUUUAUUUGUAAAAAGGGGGAUAAUAAUACUUCAAAGGGCUGUUGUCACUGUUGAAUGAGAAAACAGACAUCAAACUGGCUGGCUCCCAGCCAGUAUUCAGUAUGUAUUGGUUGCUUUCUCUUUUUUCUAAGUGGGCAAAUAGGGAAUUGGAGAAACAGAUGUGAAAGGUUUGUCUUCUGGGGGUGCCUCUUGAUGCUAUGGAGGACUGCCCCAGAGGGUUGAGGCUGAGCACUUGGAUGGCCAAUAGGAGGAAAAGCUGUUUUGUAGUUCUGUAGCCAGAAGUCAAGUUGGUCUGGGGCUACCAUUUUUGUACCUGUUCAUUCCUGGUGACCACAUGGACUAUCUCCUCACUCACAUCUGCUCCCCUGGGUCCCACUGCCUGGGAGCCAUGAUGGAUGAACUCCAGCCAGUUAAGACUUUGCUCCCUAUUUAUCAUCUUCUGCCUUGCCUCGGGGAGCUGUUUGCUUUCCAACAUAUGAGUUGGAGGAGAUGGAUUACACGUUGUCAAAAAGGUAAAUAAUGGGAUGUGAUGGUCAUUCCUUUGUGAUACAGGUGAGAGAAACAUUUAAGCAUUUCAACAGCUUAAUAGCGACCCCAAGGAAAGGACUUUUGUGAUUACUGAUUCGCCCUCCCUGUCUUAUUGUCUUGACUUUUUCACGAAAGUGCUUUAUUCAGAUUUUUAAAGCUAUUUUCUUGGCAAUAAAGUAUUUGAAGAAAAUGAUGUGCUGAGAUGAACCUGUGUAUGUGAACCAGAGAACUGAACAGGGAAGAGAAGAGAGGGCAUUUUCUGCUCCAUGUAGCACUGGUGGGUGGGGGAAUGGGCUGCUUUGCAGAACACAGCAGUACUUUCAGGGAUCUGGAUCAAAGUGGAUCAUCUCAAGGAGGGACUAGAAGGAUUGUGACUCUGCAGGGACGGUGACACUAUAUGGCUGUAAGCAACGGUAGUGGCAGACUGAUGAGACCUCAUUCUCACCUCAUUCACUUGAACGUGAAAGUAGGGUUGGUGCUUUGGGUUGAGUUAUUCCAGAAGGUAAGAAGGUACAUUUUGCAAUCUCCAAUGUAAUAAUUAAUUCAGUCAAGGUCUGUGUCAGUGGAUACUAGAGCCAUUAGGUGCAAAGUUCUCCAGCAAACAGUAGAUCCAUGUGACUUAAGCAUCGCCUCACAGAUUACUAAUGAAUUGUGAAGGUAAAACAUAUCCUUACAUUGGAGAGAUCUGUAGGUCUGUACCUUAACCACAUGGUCAAACUCAGUGCCACUGCCAAGGGAAGGAAGCACCUGGCAUUGUAUACCUCCUGCUGUGAUACAAAGGCACCCCAAAGUUGGCAUAAUAGCUCCUUGAAGGAGAAAACAUAAAGCUGUGUGAUUUCACAAUGGGAGCCUCUUCCAGAAGAAAGGGCGCGGUGGCUAGGUAGCGGCUACUUUUGGAACGCUCGAUGGUGUGUGAUUGGUUCAGUGAUGGACAAGUGACACAGCCUGACCAAUAACAGCCAAUGAGCAUCAGCCCUGGAACUUCAGGAGGAAUUGGUAUGAAAGUGAAGCUCUCUUUGUAGAAUGCGAUGUAAGGCUAUCAAGUAGAGAGGAGCUGCUUGCGAUGGACUCCAUCACAGCGAAGAGAAACUGAUUUCUGACCCAGUCACACCUCAAACACUCUUCAUUUGUAAGAAUAAAAAAAAUCUACUUUUUUUCCAAGUUAAUUAGAAUUGAGUUUCUAUCACAUGCAAUUAAGAGCCUCAGUUAAUAUCACCCUCACAUCUGGCCCCUGUCCAAGCCCAGUAAUAAAAGAUGUUCACAUUUUGGAGACCCUACUCGUGAGAGGCUGCAUUGGAGUCUCAGAAUAGCAUAGAAAGACUGGAAGAGAAACCAGGGCCUGAAAUAUGACCAGAUAACAAGGAUGAAUCAGUGCCAGAGUUUCAGGAGCCAGAGGCUAGUGUUGUUCCUCAACCUCCUCAAAGCACAAAACAAGUUAAGGGUUCCACGUGGAUGAAGCUUAAAUUCUGCCAAAUUCUGCUUCUGACUCAGACACUCAUGAUAUACACGCAACAUAUGACCGAAUCAGGAGGGCAAGUGCAUUUGUGAAACUGUAGUGAGGCACCUGGACACAGUCAGAUACCCCUAAAGUGAAGCAAGCAUGUUCUAGAAGCUGGCCAUAGAUAGAAUAAGCCACAGAAAUGUCAUGGUGGGAGCAGGCUCAGAGUGAGAAGGCAAUAUCUUUGCAGCUAAGCUAGAAGGCAUCUAGCACUUGGAAUUACGAUUCUCUAUGGCUUAAGUACAUGGGUCACACUGAUAUAUAGUGUGGCAGGCAGUUGGAAAAGUUGAUUCUGGCGAGCUGAUGAGUGGGAACUGGUGACACAGCUCUGGAGUACCUGGAUAGGCUGAGCUGUCAGAAUCUAGCCAAAGGAUGUGGGCCAUAGUAAGAAAGGCCGCCAUUUUCUGUUCUUGUGUGGAGGUUUUGGAGGAUAGCCUUCCAAUGGUUGGAAUUGUUUUCACAAAUAAACUUUUAUGAUAACUAAAAUAAGGGUCAACAGGAUUCCUUCAUAGCGUAUAGGCUCCAGGGCACAAGAUUUUUGUCCCUUUUGUUCACUCAUGAAAAUAGCCCAUAGAACACUACCUAGCACAUGGAGGGGCUCAAUAAAUAUUUGCUCAGUGGAUACUACACACCUGCCCUGUGGUGUUGAGUGUUUCUGUAGGAGUUCCACCUGGUCCAUGUCACUGGGUCAAUGUCUAUUUUCCUAGUUCCUUAAGGAUCUCGUUGAGUGUCAGUCAUCAUGACUGGCUCUCAGAGGAUAGCUUCUGUGAGAGCAGAAACAGAUGGAAACAGUAGAUCUUUUUGUUUGGUUUUUGGUGAUUGCCCAAGUUAACGUGAGAUGCAUGCUCUUUGAGAAGAUCUCCUAUUGAAGGCUGUUGUGUGGAUCUGUGUGACAAGCCAGCAAGAAUACUCCACCUUGCAUCCACGGCAGGCAGACAUUCCUCAUAUUCUUUCCUUCAGACCCAGGAUGUGGCCUUAGAAUUCUUCUUAAGUUAAAGUACAAUUAGUAAACUAAAAUUGAGACAAGUGAUGGGGACCUUUCUCUUGGCUCCUUUAAAAAUGGUAAUGUAAGGUCUGGAGUGCAAAGUUCUGUCCCUAUUUUCCGAUCCUCCU